GAUGAACGCUGGCUACAGGCUUAACACAUGCAAGUCGAGGGGAAACGACGGGGAAGCUUGCUUCCCCGGGCGUCGACCGGCGCACGGGUGAGUAACGCGUAUCCAACCUGCCUCUGACUGAGGGAUAACCCGUCGAAAGUCGGCCUAAUACCUCAUGGCAUCGUCUGCGGGCAUCCAACGACGAUUAAAGAUUUCAUCGGUCAGGGAUGGGGAUGCGUCUGAUUAGCUUGUUGGCGGGGUAACGGCCCACCAAGGCUACGAUCAGUAGGGGUUCUGAGAGGAAGGUCCCUCACAUUGGAACUGAGACACGGUCCAAACUCCUACGGGAGGCAGCAGUGAGGAAUAUUGGUCAAUGGGCGGGAGCCUGAACCAGCCAAGUAGCGUGCAGGAUGACGGCCCUAUGGGUUGUAAACUGCUUUUAUGCGGGGAUAAAGUGGGGGACGUGUCCUUCAUUGCAGGUACCGCAUGAAUAAGGACCGGCUAAUUCCGUG
rnacentral:rRNA from 1 species